GCGAGAGUGGCGAAAUUGGCAGACGCGCGGGUCUUAGAAGCCCGUGCCGCAAGGCGUGUGGGUUCAAGUCCCUCCUCUCGCA
rnacentral:tRNA from 1 species